UACGGGGCGCAGCAGGGGGGAAUUUUGCGCAAUGGGGGGAACCUUGACGCAGCGACGCCGCGUGGGUGAUGAAGGCCUUCGGGUUGUAAAGCCCUGUUGGGGGGGAAGAUAAUGACGGUACCCCCUGAGGAAGCCCCGGCUAACUACGUGCCAGCAGCCGCGGUAAGACGUAGGGGCGAGCGUUGUCCGGAAUUACUGGGCGUAAAGGGCGUGUAGGCGGCUUUUCAAGUCGGCUGUGAAAUUCCCCGGCUUAACCGGGGGGGUGCAGUCGAAACUGAUGGGCUUGAGUGCAGGAGAGGGUGGUGGAAUUCCCGGUGUAGCGGUGACAUGCGUAGAUAUCGGGAGGAGCACCGGUGGCGAAGGCGACCUCCUGGCCUUGACCUGACGCUGAGGAGCGAAAGCCAGGGUAGCGAACGGAAUUAGAUACCCCGGUAGUCCUGGCCAUAAACGGUGGACACUAGGUGUAGGUGGUAUCAAACCCAUCUGUGCCGCAGCAAACGCAUUAAGUGUCCCGCCUGGGGAGUACGGUCGCAAGGCUGAAACUCAAAGGAAUUGGCGGGGGAGCAC
rnacentral:rRNA from 1 species